CCUACGGGAGGCAGCAGUGGGGGAUAUUGCACAAUGGGGGAAACCCUGAUGCAGCGACGCCGCGUGGGCGAAGAAGUAUUUCGGUAUGUAAAGCCCUAUCAGCAGGGAAGAAGAAAUGACGGUACCUGAGUCAGAAGCACCGGCUAAAUACGUGCCAGCAGCCGCGGUAAUACGUAUGGUGCAAGCGUUAUCCGGCUUUACUGGGGGUAAAGGGAGCGCAGGCGGCACGGCAAGCCUGAUGUGAAAGCCCGGUGCCCAACCGCGGGACUGCAGUUGGAACUACCGGGCUGGAGUGCCGGAGAGGUAGGCGGAAUUCCUGGUGUAGCGGUGAAAUGCGUAGAUAUCAGGAGGAACACCAGUGGCGAAGGCGGCCUACUGGACGGUGACUGACGCUGAGGCUCGAAAGCGUGGGGAGCAAACAGGAUUAGAUACCCGUGUAGUC
rnacentral:rRNA from 1 species